AUAAGCGGAGGAAAAGAACCAACAGGGAUUCCCCUAGUAACGGCGAGUGAAGCGGCAACAGCUCAAAUUGAAAUCUGGCUCUUCAGAGUCCGAGUUGUAAUUUGCAGAGGGCGCUUUGGCUUUGGCAGCGGUCCAAGUUCCUUGGAACAGGACGUCACAGAGGGUGAGAAUCCCGUACGUGGUCGCUAGCUAUUGCCGUGUAAAGCCCCUUCGACGAGUCGAGUUGUUUGGGAAUGCAGCUCUAAAUGGGAGGUAAAUUUCUUCUAAAGCUAAAUAUUGGCCAGAGACCGAUAGCGCACAAGUAGAGUGAUCGAAAGAUGAAAAGCACUUUGGAAAGAGAGUCAAACAGCACGUGAAAUUGUUGAAAGGGAAGCGCUUGCAGCCAGACUUGCUUGCAGUUGCUCAUCCGGGCUUUUGCCCGGUGCACUCUUCUGCAGGCAGGCCAGCAUCAGUUUGGGCGGUGGGAUAAAGGUCUCUGUCAUGUACCUCUCUUCGGGGAGGCCUUAUAGGGGAGGCGACAUACCACCAGCCUAGACUGAGGUCCGCGCAUCUGCUAGGAUGCUGGCGUAAUGGCUGUAAGCGGCCCGUCUUGAAACACGGACCAAGGAGUCUAACAUCUAUGCGAGUGUUUGGGUGUCAAGCCCGAGCGCGUAAUGAAAGUGAACGGAGGUGGGAACCCGCAAGGGUGCACCAUCGACCGAUCCUGAAGUUUUCGGAAGGAUUUGAGUAAGAGCAUGGCUGUUGGGACCCGAAAGAUGGUGAACUAUGCUUGAAUAGGGUGAAGCCAGAGGAAACUCUGGUGGAGGCUCGCAGCGGUUCUGACGUGCAAAUCGAUCGUCAAAUUUGGGCAUAGGGGCGAAAGACUAAUC
rnacentral:rRNA from 1 species